UUUUAAUAUUGUUUUCAGACAGAAGGGCUGGGGCAAUUAUAUACAGUAAUCUGUGAGUGAAUGAAGAUAUUUGUAUAGUACCAUAGCUCUGCUUAUUUCAUACAAUGCAAUGGCUGAGUGCAGCCAAAAUGAUGGUGAUGGCAGAGAAUUGAACAAAUUUGAGCAUUUCAGAUUUCCCAGAUAGCUGCAGGCUGGGCCCAGGGAGACUGUACUUGCAUGAGGCAGGGGUGACUCCACAGUGCAUGUUCCAGCCAGAUAGAGUUGGCUUCCUGCCCCAUGAGGAAGGCCUUGAUUUCAACCAAUAGCCUGAAAGGACAAAUGAGAGAGAAUGCCAGUGCCCCCACUGGCAGGGCCCUUUGUCCACAUUUGUCCACUCUGGUUCAAUGUCUCGGUGUACUCCCACAGCUAAGAUGUUAGGCCCAGAAAGCUAUGUGUUCUUGAACCAGCUUGAUUUUUAGUUAGCUGUACAGACUGGAUGGAUUGUUGUACUCCAUAAAUUGGAAUAGAAUUUUUCAGAUUGGCUUUAUUGC
rnacentral:lncRNA from 1 species